AAUAUCCUGCAUUGUUCGUGACCACAUAAAAAAACUGAAUAAAUAUAGAUAGGAAUGCCUACAUUAAUAACCCGAUGUCAUGCUCAAUUCAUUGACUUGAGAGUACGAGAAGGUUGUUUGCGGCAAUCCACCUGAGGAAAGUUCAGGUUUUUCUAUAUCGGUUACGGCAAUUUGGGACUUAG
rnacentral:other from 1 species